UACGAAGGUCCCGAGCGUUGUUCGGAAUCACUGGGCGUAAAGGGAGCGUAGGCGGUUCGGUAAGUCAGGUGUGAAAUCCCGGGGCUCAACCCCGGAACUGCACCCGAUACUGCCGUGACUGGAGUAAUGGAGGGGUAGCUGGAAUUCUCGGUGUAGCAGUGAAAUGCGUGGAUAUCGAGAGGAACACUCGUGGCGAAGGCGAGCUACUGGACAUUUACUGACGCUGAGGCUCGAAGGCCGGGGUAGCGAAAGGG
rnacentral:misc_RNA from 1 species